CGAUACGACCGUACCGCAAACCGACACUGGUGCGCGAGAUGAGUAUUCUAAGGCGCUUGAGAGAACUCAGGAGAAGGAACUCGGCAAAUUGACACCGUAACUUCGGAAGAAGGUGUGCCCUAUUAGUGUGUAGUGAACAACGAAGCAUGAAUGGGUUGCAAAAAAUCGGUGGCUGCGACUGUUUAUUAAAAACACAGCACUCUGCAAACACGAAAGUGGACGUAUAGGGUGUGACGCCUGCCCGGUGCUGGAAGAUUAAAUGAUGGGGUGCAAGCUCUUGAUUGAAGUCCCAGUAAACGGCGGCCGUAACGAUAACGGUCCUAAGGUAGCGAAAUUCCUUGUCGGGUAAGUUCCGACCUGCACGAAUGGCGUAACGAUGGCCACACUGUCUCCUCCUGAGACUCAGCGAAGUUGAAAUGUUUGUGAUGAUGCAAUCUCCCCGCGGAAAGACGGAAAGACCCCAUGAACCUUUACUGUAGCUUUGUAUUGGACUUUGAACAGAUCUGUGUAGGAUAGGUGGGAGGCUUUGAAGCAGGGUCGCUAGAUCUUGUGGAGCCAACGUUGAAAUACCACCCUGGUGUGUUUGAGGUUCUAACCUAGGUCCAUUAUCUGGAUCGGGGACAGUGCAUGGUAGGCAGUUUGACUGGGGCGGUCUCCUCCCAAAGCGUAACGGAGGAGUUCGAAGGUACGCUAGUUACGGUCGGACAUCGUGACGAUAGUGCAAUGGCAUAAGCGUGCUUAACUGCGAGACUGACAAGUCGAGCAGAUGCGAAAGCAGGACAUAGUGAUCCGGUGGUUCUGUAUGGAAGGGCCAUCGCUCAACGGAUAAAAGGUACUCUGGGGAUAACAGGCUGAUACCGCCCAAGAGUUCAUAUCGACGGCGGUGUUUGGCACCUCGAUGUCGGCUCAUCUCAUCCUGGGGCUGUAGCCGGUCCCAAGGGUAUGGCUGUUCGCCAUUUAAAGAGGUACGUGAGCUGGGUUUAAAACGUCGUGAGACAGUUUGGUCCCUAUCUUCCGUGGGCGCUGCAGAUUUGAGGAAGCCUGCUCCUAGUACGAGAGGACCGGAGUGGACACACCUCUGGUGUAUCGGUUGUCACGCCAGUGGCAUUGCCGAGUAGCUAAGUGUGGAAGAGAUAACCGCUGAAAGCAUCUAAGCGGGAAACUCGUUUCAAGAUGAGAUCUGCCGGGGCCUUGAGCCCCCUAAAGAGUCGUUCAAGACCAGGACGUUGAUAGGUCAGGUGUGGAAGC
rnacentral:rRNA from 1 species